UCGACCCGAACACAAGUGAGCUGACCAAGAUCGUGUUUGGCUCGCUAAGAUUUUAAGCUAAAAAAUACAGUUCAUGUUUGAUUCGUUUAUUAAACGACCGAUCCAUAUUAAGCUCAUUUCGAGCCGAAGGUCUUCAUUCUAUCAAAUCAUUUUCUAUGAUAGAGAUUUUGAAUUGAUAAUCGAAAUUGCUAAAACUGAUCUAAAAUAUUUGAAGUGUUUAAAAAUUAAAUUUUAUAAUUUUUAAAAAUUAUUUACAUAGCGAUCAAAGCUUCGAAAAAUCGAUAGUUUUGAUGGCCUAUUCAAACCGUUGCUUGUUUAAUAGUAUAAAGCAAUCUAAGCUAUUUGAAUUUUUAAUAAAAAAAAUUUUAUACUAUUUAGAAAAUAUUUGAUAAUCCUGAUAAUGAAUUAAGAAAGUCUAAUCUUUAUUUCAAUUUUGUUUUUAUUGUUUAUUUUUUGACUAUUCGAUGGACUUGAUAAUAAUUUAAAAUUUUAUAAAAUUUGAUUUUUAAAUAUUUUUAAUAGCGUAAAUUAAUUAUAAUAAUACCGAUUAUCAAUUUGGAAUUUGGUCAUUCAAAAUCACUGGAAAAGAUAAAAGCCUCUAUAUAAGGUAUCGUUUGGUUUGGGGAUAAGCAAAAAGUGAAUAUUCUGAGAAUAGAUAUAAAUUGAGGUAUAAGCGGGGAUUAGAUGAAUUUUGUGUUUGGAUGAAAAUUGAGUAUUCCUGAGAAUAAGAAAAAUAGCGUUUGGUUAGGUAAGAUGGGAUAAGAAUUAAAGUGAGUAUUUAUAAAUAAAAAAUAAUGAUAUUAUUUUUUUCUUUAUAUUAGAAUUUAAAUUUUUAUAUUUUAUAUUUAUAUUUUAAAAUUUAAAAUAUAAACUUUUAAAGUUUAAAAAUUAAAAUUAAAAUUUAAAAUUUUAAAAUCUCAAAUUUAUAAUUUUAAAAAAUUAAUUUUUUAAAUUUUGAACUUUAAUUUAAGAUGAAAUUUUAAUUUAAAAAUACAAAAUAUCAUAUUCUAAAUAUAAAAAAAUUAAAAUA
rnacentral:lncRNA from 1 species